CACUAAGCGGAGGAAAAGAAACUAACCAGGAUUCCCCUAGUAACGGCGAGUGAAGAGGGAAAAGCCCAGCACCGAAGCCUGUGGCAUAUUUGCUGCUAGGCAAUGUGGUGUUUAGGUCGGCUCGUUGGAUCGCCACUCCACUCGAAGUCCAGCAUUGAGUAUGGUUCCCAGGAAUUGGCCCAUAGAGGGUGAAAGGCCCGUGCGAGUGGACGUGUCAGACAUGUAAGGCGAUUCACCAGGCCGGCCUUAGAGUCGGGUUGUUUGGGAAUGCAGCCCAAAGCGGGUGGUAAACUCCAUCCAAGGCUAAAUACUAGCACGAGUCCGAUAGCGAACAAGUACCGUGAGGGAAAGUUGAAAAGUACUUUGAAGAGAGAGUAAACAGUACGUGAAACCGCAUAGAGGUAAACGGGUGGCGUCAAGCUGCAAGCCCAGAGAAUUCAGUGGGUCAGGGUGUUGUUAUGCGCCCAGCGCAUCCAUCAGUCCGACUGUUUCUGGCUAGCCCGCAGUAAAAGCGCGGGUCCAGCUGUCAAAGGCUGGAACUUGUGUGCCGAGUGGAUGUCGGAGCAAGCUAGCCGUCGGAUGGACUGACUGGCCUAUGCAAUUUCUCUGUUUGGUGAAUACCACGACCGGUGGCACUGCCAGUCUGCUGUAGUCAAGUUCAUGACACGUGGCCGUCUCUCUUGAGUGAUGGUUGCGUGUUGUGAUCACAGACAAUUUCAGUGCACGGUGCUCGUGUGUCUCGUGCAUACGGGCAUGUUAUCGGGUACUGGUUGUAAACGAAUCUGCUCGUAGCAUCGGUCUGUUUUAGUGCUCGGGUGAUUCGGUGGACUAUGGUGGUACGAAUAACUGUGCAACGCACCGGAGAUAUCGGUUCGAAAUGCGAUUUCACACGUAGAAUAGACCUACUUGUGUGAUUUAAAUACACACAGAUGACCUGAUCGUAGCCUGCCAGAUGUCGGGUCUGAUUGUCGUGUUGCCCGUCAAAAUGACGGGUCCGGCAAUGGCCUGGUGUUGGAUGGUGUUGUUGAUCGGUGUUGUCAUUGUGGAAUCGUGCCUACGAGCCAAAUAGUCUGUGGUAUAGUGGUAGACGAGCUACCCGACCCGUCUUGAAACACGGACCAAGGAGUUUAACAUGCGCGCGAGUCAAUGGGUACUACGAAACCUAGAGGCGCAAUGAAAGUGAAGCCUCGACAUUUGUUCUCGAGGUGUGGUGAGAUCCUGCUGUUUCUCGUAUGCAUUUGGCCAGCACUGGGCUAUCUAGACGAGCAGUGGGCGCAUCACCGGCCCGUCCCAUGAUGUGGUUAUUUGUCAGUGGUAGCUGUGGUCUCGGUUAUGGUUACCGGGCUGGCGGAUACGUCAUCGGGGCGGAGCAUGAGCGCGCAUGUUGAGACCCGAAAGAUGGUGAACUAUGCUUGCGUAGGUUGAAGCCAGAGGAAACUCUGGUGGAGGACCGCAGCGAUUCUGACGUGCAAAUCGAUCGUCAAACGUGAGUAUAGGGGCGAAAGACUAAUCGAACCAUCUAGUAGCUGGUUCCCUC
rnacentral:rRNA from 1 species